rnacentral:rRNA from 1 species
UUAAGCGACUAAGCGUACACGGUGGAUGCCCUGGCAGUCAGAGGCGAUGAAGGACGUGCUAAUCUGCGAUAAGCGUCGGUGAGGUGAUAUGAACCGUUAUAACCGGCGAUUUCCGAAUGGGGAAACCCAGUGUGUUUCGACACACUAUCAUUAACUGAAUCCAUAGGUUAAUGAGGCGAACCGGGGGAACUGAAACAUCUAAGUACCCCGAGGAAAAGAAAUCAACCGAGAUUCCCCCAGUAGCGGCGAGCGAACGGGGAGGAGCCCAGAGCCUGAAUCAGUGUGUGUGUUAGUGGAAGCGUCUGGAAAGGCGCGCGAUACAGGGUGACAGCCCCGUACACAAAAAUGCACAUAUUGUGAGCUCGAUGAGUAGGGCGGGACACGUGGUAUCCUGUCUGAAUAUGGGGGGACCAUCCUCCAAGGCUAAAUACUCCUGACUGACCGAUAGUGAACCAGUACCGUGAGGGAAAGGCGAAAAGAACCCCGGCGAGGGGAGUGAAAAAGAACCUGAAACCGUGUACGUACAAGCAGUGGGAGCCUCUUAAUGGGGUGACUGCGUACCUUUUGUAUAAUGGGUCAGCGACUUAUAUUCUGUAGCAAGGUUAACCGAAUAGGGGAGCCGAAGGGAAACCGAGUCUUAACUGGGCGUUAAGUUGCAGGGUAUAGACCCGAAACCCGGUGAUCUAGCCAUGGGCAGGUUGAAGGUUGGGUAACACUAACUGGAGGACCGAACCGACUAAUGUUGAAAAAUUAGCGGAUGACUUGUGGCUGGGGGUGAAAGGCCAAUCAAACCGGGAGAUAGCUGGUUCUCCCCGAAAGCUAUUUAGGUAGCGCCUCGUGAAUUCAUCUCCGGGGGUAGAGCACUGUUUCGGCAAGGGGGUCAUCCCGACUUACCAACCCGAUGCAAACUGCGAAUACCGGAGAAUGUUAUCACGGGAGACACACGGCGGGUGCUAACGUCCGUCGUGAAGAGGGAAACAACCCAGACCGCCAGCUAAGGUCCCAAAGUCAUGGUUAAGUGGGAAACGAUGUGGGAAGGCCCAGACAGCCAGGAUGUUGGCUUAGAAGCAGCCAUCAUUUAAAGAAAGCGUAAUAGCUCACUGGUCGAGUCGGCCUGCGCGGAAGAUGUAACGGGGCUAAACCAUGCACCGAAGCUGCGGCAGCGACGCUUAUGCGUUGUUGGGUAGGGGAGCGUUCUGUAAGCCUGUGAAGGUGGCCUGUGAGGGUUGCUGGAGGUAUCAGAAGUGCGAAUGCUGACAUAAGUAACGAUAAAGCGGGUGAAAAGCCCGCUCGCCGGAAGACCAAGGGUUCCUGUCCAACGUUAAUCGGGGCAGGGUGAGUCGACCCCUAAGGCGAGGCCGAAAGGCGUAGUCGAUGGGAAACAGGUUAAUAUUCCUGUACUUGGUGUUACUGCGAAGGGGGGACGGAGAAGGCUAUGUUGGCCGGGCGACGGUUGUCCCGGUUUAAGCGUGUAGGCUGGUUUUCCAGGCAAAUCCGGAAAACCAAGGCUGAGGCGUGAUGACGAGGCACUACGGUGCUGAAGCGACAAAUGCCCUGCUUCCAGGAAAAGCCUCUAAGCAUCAGGUAACAUCAAAUCGUACCCCAAACCGACACAGGUGGUCAGGUAGAGAAUACCAAGGCGCUUGAGAGAACUCGGGUGAAGGAACUAGGCAAAAUGGUGCCGUAACUUCGGGAGAAGGCACGCUGAUAUGUAGGUGAAGCGACUAGCUCGUGGAGCUGAAAUCAGUCGAAGAUACCAGCUGGCUGCAACUGUUUAUUAAAAACACAGCACUGUGCAAACACGAAAGUGGACGUAUACGGUGUGACGCCUGCCCGGUGCCGGAAGGUUAAUUGAUGGGGUUAGCGGUAACGCGAAGCUCUUGAUCGAAGCCCCGGUAAACGGCGGCCGUAACUAUAACGGUCCUAAGGUAGCGAAAUUCCUUGUCGGGUAAGUUCCGACCUG